rnacentral:tRNA from 1 species
GGGAGUGUUGCUCAGUGGUACAGCACUUGCCUAGCAUGUUUGAGGUCCUGGGUUCAAUCCUCAGCAGCCCCA